GAGGGGGGUGGAUAGAUUGCAGCAUCUGCCCCUGCAUCGAUCGCUGGGGCUGAUCCAGCUGGCCUGGCCAGUGUCCCCUCCUCUCUCACGUGUGUGUCCCUCCUGGAGCCGCGCGCUUGUCGAAGAGGAGGACCGUCCCCGAUAGGCAGGAUCAGUCUCCGCAUCAAGGGUGUAUGAGUGGCUGCGGGCCCCUGCUGCUGCUGCUGCUGCUAAGUCACUUCAGUCAUGUCUGUCUCUUAGCGACCCCAUGGACUGUAGCCCACCAGGCUCCUCUGUCCCUGGGAUUCUCCAGACAAGAAUAAUGCAGUGGGU
ensembl:misc_RNA 7SK 7SK RNA